GGAAUUGUGGCUCAGCGGUAGAGCGCUCACCUACCAUGUGUGAGGCUCUGGGUUCUGUCCUCAGCACCA
rnacentral:tRNA from 1 species